UCGAGAAUCUUCCGCAAUGGGCGAAAGCCUGACGGAGCGACGCCGCGUGGUUGAUGAAGUCUUUCGAGACGUAAAAACCUUUUAUGAUCAGGAAAGUUUAUUGAUCCGAUCAUGAAUAAGGGGCUCCAAACUCUGUGCCAGCAGGAGCGGUAAUACAGAGGCCCCAAGCGUUAUCCGGAAUCACUGGGCGUAAAGGGUGUGUAGGUUGUCGUAUUAGUCUCCUUUCAAAGCUCCCGGCCUAACCGGGAAAAGGGAGGGGAAACGGUAUGACUAGAGGAUGCGAGAGGUGUAUGGAACUCAUGGAGUAGGGGUGAAAUCCGUUGAUAUCAUGGGGAACACCAAAAGCGAAGGCAGUACACUGGCGUAUUCCUGACACUGAAACACGAAAGCGUAGGUAGCG
rnacentral:rRNA from 1 species